AUAGAUUUAUCCGGGAGCCAGCACAAUCAUCUCUUCCUGCAUUUGCUGGAAAACUCGUGACACAAAUUGCAAGCUGCGAUUGCGAUUGCGUUUGCGAUUUCAACAUUUUCUCCUAUUCCUCCUAUUUAUAUCCCUGACUUGCGAUAUCUGAUGACAGUGGUUUUAUGGUCAGCCGGAGAACACGCUUCGUUGCGGCUGCCAAAAAGAAAUACCGCACCACGGCGCACCACACCGAACCACACCAAACAAAAAGGAGAAUAGAGUGCAUUAAAAAUACUUCCAGUUGUUGGUCGAAUUUUGUGCUAAGCGCAGCAUUCUCUGUACUCGAACUGGCACUCGCCCUCGAGGCUGUCAUAGGGCGACUGGAAUAACGCUGCAGUAAAUUCAGGAGAGCCCCGGCCCCGGACUCGAGGGAAGGGAAACUGAAUUACCAGGAUUGUCGUGACGUUGGCGCAAAUUAAAAAUCAAAAAAUCCCUGCAAGAUCUCUUGAAUCUCGUUGUUUGCUUUGGCCAUAUCUUUUCCCAUCCUUUUUUUUUCUGCCAUCCUGUGACCCUUUAUCCUCGGGCUUCCUUUGUGAUGCAAAGAGCGAUCCAUAAACUGUGUCAAGUAGCGCCGUCCCGCAACAAGGACCCCAAAAACGGGAGGCAGCUCCACUUUGAGUGAGUCAUUGGAGAGCGCCAGAGGGAGAUUUCUCAUAAUUAAAAGCGACUUGAGAGGCUGCGGAUUGACAUAAAUCAUGGAUGACCCGCCGAGGCAGCGGAGGAAUCGCCCUGAAGAUAAGGCUCCGUGAUUUAUGUAUUUCUCAUGUGUUUGCAUUCCAUUCAGCGACGUAACAAUAAAUUCAAACAACAAAUGGUGCACUGCAAAAAAGUCGUAUCUAGUCGAGGGUUUCCACCAACAGUCCACCAACUCGUGUACUGCUUUCAGCUUUGGCCAAAAUUGUAUUAUCACAGUUUUCAAUAUCUCUCAGUGUAGUCAACAAAUCAUUCAGAGCGACUGUCCAUCAAAAGUGGUCUCAAUCCAGUUGAAAGUCGACCUUCUGUCCGAUCCCUGGAUGUGGGACAUUGGAAUCUCUAUACUUCCUGUUAAUUAAGCUUAUUAAGCGAGCCCGCAACAGAAUAAAUAAUACAUUUAAAGUGGCUAAAGGGCCUGACAGCUGAGAUAAGCUCGUUUAAGCUCUUUUUCUUCCUGCUAGUAAAUUACGGAAUUCCAAUUAAAACACAAAUUUGUUGAGCCAGUGAAAUCUGUUAUAAAAACAAAGUCUUAUUUCGUUAGAAGCCUUCCUAGCCGGAAAUCCAAUACGGUUCAUAUUCUUGUUAUUGCAGUUGGCAUUUUGUGAGCCAUCUUUGGGGAAUUUGCAUUUGCCGCAUGCCAGCUCUUCGACCAAUCAAAAAGUGGAGGUAGAAGUCCAUAUAAACUACAGAAAUGUAUCAAAGAGCGUGCUCCUGCCAUUUAUGAGUGCCUGGUAUGUUAGGGGCAAAGUCAAAUCUGUAGAAAAAGAAAUGCAACCCAAUUUAUUUGUUAUUUUAAUUGGUUUUUCGGCCAUUUUUAUACAGAAAAAUCGUUCUGCCAGGCAAUCAGAAAGGCCAGAGGUGUACCUUCUUCAACCAGUGGCAAGUAAGGAAAAUACAAAUAAUAUUGAAAGAGUAUUUAUUUCCCACAAGGAAGCCCUCCAGGCAGUUAGGAAGUAACAAAUCCUUGAAAAGGUGGCUGCAAACCGAAAAUCAAAAUUAAGGUACCCCAUUUUAGGGUGUAGUAAACAACCCUUUUUGGAAAAAAUCCAACAAAAUAAAAAAUUUUGGUACCAGGCCAGCAGAUACCAAGAGAUGGUCGACAAAAUCUCUACCAGUCUGCCAAAUCCUGACGAAAAAUAGUUGGCCCAAUUGGAAAAGGGCUUGUACUACGCACUCGUAUAUGGAGAUGUGUGUGCAACAGUGCGUAUGAGUGUUGUCGGCACACUCGGAGACCCAGAAGUUUGUUUGCUUUCAACUGGAAAUUAAAGGGUACAAUUUUGGAGCGGGUGGUUGACAGGCAGCUCCCUUGGGUGGCAAUGUGAGAUGGAAAUUGGUUUAUUUUCACAGUGGCCAGCAUUAGUUAGUGCCUCUCCAGUGGCUUAAUUCAAUCUGAAGCAGCAGUACCACACGCUUAAAGGUAAGGUAAGGUAAUAAAAGCUAAGUUUAUGGACUAGAGCUUUAUAAUUUGUUAGACUGUGGGAGCCUUGUAUGGUUCAUGGUUGCCUUCUGCCUUCUAUAUCAAUCUUUGUGUUUCCAAAAUGUCCUUUUACAGCAUGAAACCCAAGUAUAGUAAUUAGCCCGGCUUUGACCCACGCACAACCGGAAUAAAAGCCAGGCAACUCUUUCGCCCAUUAUGCAAAGGACUUUUAAUUAAAAUGCCAGCCAGCUUAACUUAUUAAAACAAAACUUGCUAUUUGAAUAUGUCAUUAGAGUGGGGGGAGCUGGAAUGCGGGGUAGGAGCCAAUACUUCAUAAACUGUCGGGCAAGAGGAAUCGCAAAAUGGAAAUUAAUUUGCCGCCAUUGACACAAGCCUGCGGGGCAGCAGGGAUUACAAAUCAUUCAAGUAAAAAAUGGCGCCACUCGACAAAGUCAAUUGCAAUAAAGUCGCCCAGGACGAGAACAAAGUGACAGGAGGAAGUGGGCGUCGGCCCCGAGUAGGACCCGUUGGAGUACAGUGCAUGUGGCCAGGCUGUCCCCAAAGCCGAUUAGUUGUGUAAAAACAAAAACGUUUGAGCCGGUAGAUGCGAAAAAGCGUGUACAAAUUUACCCAACGGCUUAUGGCAAUUAGUUGGAAGAGUUACGAAAUGCGGCUUUGCUUAGACUACUCUACAGCCAGUGCUCGCUAUUUCCGUUCCAUAUGCCGCAAAUAUAAAGAAAAAAGGUAUAAAUGUAUAUGGUGUAUGUUGUAAUCCUACCUGGGAAAGCAAGUCCGUCACUUAUCUGACCUGUUUGCCCGUCAUAGAGGGCAGAUGAAACCAGCUCCCAAUAGAGAUAACGAAUGGCUCCUUCUGAGAGCAUAUUUCAUGAUAUAUUUCCCCAGAUAAGCGGCGCGAGGCUUUAACCUUUACUUCUCCAUGAUGCCGUCAACCAGUGACCAGUGUUCAACAGCGGAAUUGUUGGUUCACGCCUACGGGAAAUAAUGUCAGGAUCCCCGCUUUCAUACGCCGCCGAAUCAAACGCUUGGCUUCAGCUUUAAAAAGCGACUUAUGCUGGACUUAUACGAGUUGGUAUCCGACUCCUCCAGAAGGGGUCCUAUCCAAACAUAACAAAGGCAUAUUCGAGACAGACCGAGUCCUAUCCCAGCGAGACAGAAGCGAGCCCAGCAAGUUAUCGUAUCCUUCGACUUGGCCAUCGACAACAAGGACUUCGACUAUCUAGAUAAAUCUUGUUUUUGUUAGUUUUAAGGAUAUAAGCGUCUAUUCAUUUAGACAGUAGAUAAAAAUGGUUUUCACUUGUUUAUUAAUUUAUACUAAGCUUAGUUAUGAUGAAUAAAAAUAUUGUAAAAUCA